AGUCAAGUAAUUAAGUGCAUGUGGUGGAUGCCUUGGCAGUCAGAGGCGAUGAAAGACGUGAUAGCCUGCGAAAAGCUCCGGGGAGGCGGCAAAUAUCCUUUGAUCCGGAGAUGUCUGAAUGGGGGAACCCACCUACUUUAAGGUAGGUAUUGCAACAUGAAUACAUAGUGUUGCAAGGCGAACGAGGGGAAGUGAAACAUCUCAGUACCCUUAGGAAAAGAAAUCAAUUGAGAUUCCCUCAGUAGCGGCGAGCGAACGGGGAUCAGCCCAUUAAGUUAUGUGUGUUUUAGUGGAACGCUCUGGGAAGUGCGAACGUAGAGGGUGAUAUUCCCGUACACGAAAGGGCACACAUAAUGAUGACGAGUAGGGCGAGGCACGUGAAACCUUGUCUGAAUAUGGGGGGACCAUCCUCCAAGGCUAAAUACUCCUGACUGACCGAUAGUGAACCAGUACCGUGAGGGAAAGGCGAAAAGAACCCCUGUGAGGGGAGUGAAAUAGAUCCUGAAACCGCAUGCAUACAAGCAGUGGGAGCACCUUCGUGGUGUGACUGCGUACCUUUUGUAUAAUGGGUCAGCGACUUAUAUUCAGUAGCAAGGUUAACCGUAUAGGGGAGCCGUAGAGAAAUCGAGUCUUAAUAGGGCGUUUAGUUGCUGGGUAUAGACCCGAAACCAGGCGAUCUAUCCAUGAGCAGGUUGAAGGUUGGGUAACACUAACUGGAGGACCGAACCCACUGUCGUUGAAAAGCCAGGGGAUGACUUGUGGAUAGGGGUGAAAGGCUAAUCAAGCCUGGUGAUAGCUGGUUCUCCCCGAAAGCUAUUUAGGUAGCGCCUCGGACGAAUACCAUAGGGGGUAGAGCACUGUUUCGGCUAGGGGGUCAUCCCGACUUACCAAACCGAUGCAAACUCCGAAUACCUAUGAGUACUAUCCGGGAGACAGACUGCGGGUGCUAACGUCCGUAGUCAAGAGGAAAACAAUCCAGACCGCCAGCUAAGGCCCCAAAAUCAUAGUUAAGUGGGAAACGAUGUGGGAAGGCAUAGACAGCUAGGAGGUUGGCUUAGAAGCAGCCACCCUUUAAAGAAAGCGUAAUAGCUCACUAGUCGAGUCGGCCUGCGCGGAAGAUGUAACGGGGCUAAAACUAUGUGCCGAAGCUGCGGAUNNUGCUGGAGGUAUCAGAAGUGCGAAUGCUGACGUGAGUAACGACAAAACGGGUGAAAAACCCGUUCGCCGAAAGACCAAGGGUUCCAGUCCAACGUUAAUCGGGGCUGGGUGAGUCGACCCCUAAGGCGAGGCCGAAAGGCGUAGUCGAUGGGAAAAUGGUUAAUAUUCCAUUACUUCUGUGUAAUGCGAUGAGAGGACGGAGAAGGCUAAAUCAGCCUGGCGUUGGUUGUCCAGGUGAAAGGAUGUAGGCAUGUAUCUUAGGCAAAUCCGGGGUACUCUAUGCUGAGAUCUGAUAGCAAGCUGUACUUGUACAGCGAAGUGGUUGAUGCCAUGCUUCCAGGAAAAGUCUCUAAGCUUCAGUUACACAGGAAUCGUACCCGAAACCGACACAGGUGGUCAGGUCGAGUAGACCAAGGCGCUUGAGAGAACUCUGCUGAAGGAACUAGGCAAAAUGGUACCGUAACUUCGGGAGAAGGUACGCUGUUGUUGGUGAUGGAACUCGCUUCCUGAGCUGACGACAGCCGCAGAAACCAGGCCGCUGCAACUGUUUAUUAAAAACAUAGCACUCUGCAAACACGAAAGUGGACGUAUAGGGUGUGAUGCCUGCCCGGUGCUGGAAGGUUAAUUGAUGGGGUUAGCGUAAGCGAAGCUCUUGAUCGAAGCCCCAGUAAACGGCGGCCGUAACUAUAACGGUCCUAAGGUAGCGAAAUUCCUUGUCGGGUAAGUUCCGACCUGCACGAAUGGCAUAAUGAUGGCGGCGCUGUCUCCAGCAGAGGCUCAGUGAAAUCGAAAUCGCUGUGAAGAUGCAGUGUACCCGCGGCUAGACGGAAAGACCCCGUGAACCUUUACUGCAGCUUGACACUGAACUUUGACCUUACUUGUGUAGGAUAGGUGGGAGGCUUUGAAGCUGGAACGCUAGUUCCAGUGGAGCCGUCCUUGAAAUACCACCCUGGUAAUGUUGAGGUUCUAACUCUGUCCCGUGAUCCGGGACGAGGACCGUGUCUGGUGGGUAGUUUGACUGGGGCGGUCUCCUCCUAAAGAGUAACGGAGGAGUACGAAGGUGCGCUCAGCGUGGUCGGAAAUCACGCGUAGAGUAUAAAGGCAAAAGCGCGCUUAACUGCGAGACCCACAAGUCGAGCAGGUACGAAAGUAGGUCUUAGUGAUCCGGUGGUUCUGUAUGGAAGGGCCAUCGCUCAACGGAUAAAAGGUACUCUGGGGAUAACAGGCUGAUACCGCCCAAGAGUUCAUAUCGACGGCGGUGUUUGGCACCUCGAUGUCGGCUCAUCUCAUCCUGGGGCUGAAGCAGGUCCCAAGGGUAUGGCUGUUCGCCAUUUAAAGAGGUACGCGAGCUGGGUUUAGAACGUCGUGAGACAGUUCGGUCCCUAUCUACCGUGGGCGCUGGAAAUUUGAGAGGAUCUGCUCCUAGUACGAGAGGACCAGAGUGGACGAACCUCUGGUGUACCGGUUGUGACGCCAGUCGCAUCGCCGGGUAGCUAUGUUCGGAAGGGAUAACCGCUGAAAGCAUCUAAGCGGGAAGCCUACCUCAAGAUAAGAUUUCCCUAGGACUUUAUGUCCUCUAAAGAGCCGUUCGAGACUAGGACGUUGAUAGGUUGGAUGUGGAAGCAUAGUGAUAUGUGAAGCUGACCAAUACUAAUUGCUCGUGAGGCUUGACUAU
rnacentral:rRNA from 1 species